CGGGGUGCAGCAGGCGCGAAAACUUUACACUGCGGGAAACCGCGAUAAGGGGACCCCGAGUGCCAGCACCUAGUGCUGGCUGUCCAGCUGUCCAAAUAACAGUUGUUAGCAAGGGCCGGGCAAGACCGGUGCCAGCCGCCGCGGUAACACCGGCGGCCCGAGUGGUAGCCGUUAUUAUUGGGUUUAAAGGGUCCGUAGCCGGCCUAUUAAGUCUCUUGGGAAAUCUGGCGACUCAAUCGUCAGUCGCCCAAGAGAUACUGGUAGGCUUGGGACCGGGAGAGGUGGGAGGUACUCCAGGGGUAGGGGUGAAAUCUCGUAAUCCUUGGGGGACCACCGAUGGCGAAGGCAUCCCACCAGAACGGGUCCGACGGUGAGGGACGAAAGCUGGGGGCACGAACCGGAUUAGAUACCCGGGUAGUCCCAGCCGUAAACGAUGCUCGCUAGGUGUCAGGUGCGGUGCGACCGCAUCUGGUGCCGCAGUGAAAACUUGAAGCGAGUCACCUGGGAAGUACGGUCGCAAGGCUGAAACUUAAAGGAAUUGGC
rnacentral:rRNA from 1 species